CAUAGAAAAGAAAUCGAAAGAUAAUCGCUAGGAGCAUAUGCAGAGGAUUCAGUUAUGGGAAGGAGCAAUUAUGAAUCAAGACCUGAGCAUAUGCAGAGGAUUCAGUUAUGGGAAGGAGCAAUAAUGAAUCAAGACCUGAGCAUAUGCAGAGGAUUCGGUGUCGGCAAGGAGCAAUAAUGAAUUAACACCUAGGCAUAUGCGGACGAUCCGCCGUCGGGAAGGAGGUACAAUAAAUCAUCACGUGCGCGGUGCCUGAGUUGGCCGAAGUUAAUGGACUAUCGAAGGCGGAGAGAUUGAUUCGUCAUUGAUUAAAUUGUGUUUCGGUGUUUGUAAGAGGACUGAUUAAACUUUUAUAUUUUCACAAA